rnacentral:rRNA from 1 species
GUGGGGAAUAUUGGACAAUGGGCGCAAGCCUGAUCCAGCCAUACCGCGUGGGUGAAGAAGGCCUUCGGGUUGUAAAGCCCUUUUGUUGGGAAAGAAAUCCUGUCGAUUAAUACUCGGUGGGGAUGACGGUACCCAAAGAAUAAGCACCGGCUAACUUCGUGCCAGCAGCCGCGGUAAUACGAAGGGUGCAAGCGUUACUCGGAAUUACUGGGCGUAAAGCGUGCGUAGGUGGUGGUUUAAGUCUGCUGUGAAAGCCCUGGGCUCAACCUGGGAAUUGCAGUGGAUACUGGAUCACUAGAGUGUGGUAGAGGGAUGCGGAAUUUCUGGUGUAGCAGUGAAAUGCGUAGAGAUCAGAAGGAACAUCCGUGGCGAAGGCGGCAUCCUGGGCAAACACUGACACUGAGGCACGAAAGCGUGGGGAGCAAACAGGAUUAGAAACCCGUGUAGUCC